GCCUUCGUGGUGUAGUGGUCAGCACGCUGGACGCGUUUUCCAGAGGUCCGUGGUUCGAAUCCCGGCGAAGGCG
rfam:Stegodyphus mimosarum contig18732, whole genome shotgun sequence.